UUUAGAAUGCUACGAAUUUCAUUAUGAUCAUAUGUAGACUUAUUUUUAAGAGCACUCUUGUUUCUUUUCAAGAAUAUGAAAUAGUCAUAUGAAUCCUUUAAAUUCUAAGUUUAUUUAUCAAUCUAUGCAUGUAUGUUUAAUCGUAAAACAAACAUGUUUAAGGCAUUUUUGAGUUAAUUAACUAAUUUAACAUAUGUGAAUUUAUUUGUCAUUCCUAAAUACGAUUUUCACCAAUAGUUUGAAUCAAACUUAUUGUUAACAAGUGUUAUCAUCAAAAUUAAAUAUGUCAUUAUUUCAACAAAUGGUUCAUUAACUAAUUCUUUGUAUGUUGAAAUAAUCAUCAACCUAAUCUUAAAAGGGGUUUACGAAUGAAUCAAAAUUUCAUACAACAACAAACCAAAUUUGAGCUUAGCUCAAGAGAUUGUACAUAAAUUGGCAAAAACAUAAAGAAUUACUGAAAUGAUGUGGUAAUUCACAAUUUUUAAGAAUGUGGUGUUACGUAACUAGAAUUAAACUAUUAAAUAUAGUCAAGGAACUUGAUUGUAUGCGCCUGAUUGACUUUUAAUAUGAUCCACAAUUAACCGAGGUUAAAUCUACACUAUAUUUUAUCCUCUCUCCUUUUCAAAAUGACUUUCUAAUAUUUCUUUUCUUUGCUCAUUAAAAUGGCACAUAGACCUAUUAAAAUACGACACGCAAUGGUGAAUAUUUUAUUUUGGAAGAAGGGGCUCAAAAUCACAUUGUUAGUUCUUCAUUAAAAUCGUGGAAAAAAGUUUUAUUUGCACAGUAUAACCCAGCUACUCCUGGUGACUCUACACAAAAUCUUCCCAGCUAGCUCAAAAAUUAUCAUGCCCUUGGCACUAUCAAUUUAAUAUAAUUUGAACUACUUCAUUUUCAAUUAGGAAAGUUUCUUAAUUAGUUGUCUAUAAUAGGUCAUGUUGACUAUAUUGAUUUUCUCAUUAUUCUACUUUAUUUAGUUUUUCUUGUUUAGAAUAUAGGCUGUAAUAUAUAUUAAGAGGACAAUGAUUAAUAAAAUUAAGCCUUUACAUAUUUCUUUUUGGUAUCAGAACCAACUAAACCCUAGCCUCCAACACUGCCUUCACAAUAGCCUAAACCCUAACCCACUAGCCACCAGCCAUAGGCCAACAACAGUCCUGCCUCUAUGCAUUCCCUGUGCAACCCAGUCCAACCAACAAUCACCAGACUCAACACUUGUAACAUCCUCUUCCCUUGUGCAGCCACCACUGCAGUCACCAGCAGCCCAACCCAACCCUCACACACAGAGCCCUUGCACAACAAGUCAUCUCGUGCAUAACCAUGCUUUGUACAGUCCAUCCUUGCGCCGUCUAGCACCGUUCAGGCCUUGCACAGGCAAGCUCUUGCACAGUCGCGCAGUCUAGCUUCGUUCAAGCCUCACACAGGCCAACGCAUACACCAUCAAGCAGUCCUGUAGGCCAGCCCAUGUGCCAUCCAGUAGCAUCAUAGUCCAGCAUAGCCGCAUAUUCCAGCAACCCCUACAUCGUCUAGUAGUCCUAUAGGCCAUCCCCUGCACUGUCUAGUACAUUUAGCAGCCGCGCAAUCUAGCACAGCCACACAGUCUAGCAACCAGUAGCCCCAUAAUCCAACAACCAGUAGUCAGUAGUCUAGCGCAGCCAUCAGUUGCACAGUGCAAUUCAGCCUCCAGUCAUUGCGUAGUCUAGUGUAGCCAGCAGUAGCUGCUCGUGCAGUCCAUAUAUCGUGAAGUCUAUAUGUCUGAUAGUAUGACACUUUAAAAAAAAUAUAUUCUCCUUUGAUUUCCUAAGAUUGAUUCUUGGUGUUACGUUGAUAGUUAACCCAGUCAAGGAG
rnacentral:lncRNA from 1 species